GAUGAACGCUAGCUACAGGCUUAACACAUGCAAGUCGAGGGGAAACGAUGAGAGAGCUUGCUCUCUUAGUCGUCGACCGGCGCACGGGUGAGUAACGCGUAUCCAACCUGCCUCUGACCAAGGGAUAACCCGUCGAAAGUCGGACUAAUACCUUAUGCAGUCGUCGGAAGUCAUCUGAUGACGACGAAAGAUUUCAUCGGUGAGAGAUGGGGAUGCGUCUGAUUAGCUUGUUGGCGGGGUAACGGCCCACCAAGGCGACGAUCAGUAGGGGUUCUGAGAGGAAGGUCCCCCACAUUGGAACUGAGACACGGUCCAAACUCCUACGGGAGGCAGCAGUGAGGAAUAUUGGUCAAUGGGCGUAAGCCUGAACCAGCCAAGUAGCGUGCAGGAUGACGGCCCUAUGGGUUGUAAACUGCUUUUAUGCGGGGAUAAAGUGAGGGACGUGUCCUUCAUUGCAGGUACCGCAUGAAUAAGGACCGGCUAAUUCCGU
rnacentral:rRNA from 1 species